CCUACGGGAGGCAGCAGUAAGGAAUAUUGGUCAAUGGAGGCAACUCUGAACCAGCCAUGCCGCGUGCAGGAAGACGGCCCUAUGGGUUGUAAACUGCUUUUGAACUAGAGAAAACCUUGGUACGUGUACCGAGUUGAUAGUAUAGUUAGAAUAAGCAUCGGCUAACUUCGUGCCAGCAGCCGCGGUAAGACGAAGGAUGCAAGCGUUAUCCGGAUUCAUUGGGUUUAAAGGGUGCGUAGGCGGACUGAUAAGUCAGUGGUGAAAUCUCUCAGCUUAACUGAGAAACUGCCAUUGAUACUGUUAGUCUAGAGUACAGAUGAUGUGGGCGGAAUAUGACAUGUAGUGGUGAAAUACUUAGAUAUGUCAUAGAACACCGAUUGCGAAGGCAGCUCACAAAACUGUAACUGACGCUGAGGCACGAAAGUGCGGGGAUCAAACAGGAUUAGAUACCCUGGUAGUCCGCACCGUAAACGAUGAUUACUCGUUGUUGGCGAUAUGACAGUCAGCGACCAAGCGAAAGCGAUAAGAAUCCACCUGGGGAGUACGCCGGCAACGGUGAAACGUCAAAGGAAUUGACGGCUUGAGGAGNGCGAGCGACGACGAGGGGAGAGG
rnacentral:rRNA from 1 species